GAUGAAGAACGCAGCGAAAUGCGAUAAGUAAUGUGAAUUGCAGAAUUCAGUGAAUCAUCGAAUCUUUGAACGCACAUUGCGCCCCUUGGUAUUCCGAGGGGCAUGCCUGUUCGAGCGUCAUUUCAACCAUCAAGCCCCCGGCUUGUGUUGGGGACCUGCGGCUGCCGCAGGCCCUGAAAACCAGUGGCGGGCUCGCUAGUCACUCCGAGCGUAGUAAUACAUCUCGCUCAGGGCGUGCUGCGGGUUCCGGCCGUUAAAAAGCCUUAUUUACCCAAGGUUGACCUCGGAUCAGGUAGGAAGACCCGCUGAACUUAAGCAUAUCAAUAAGCGGAGGA
rnacentral:misc_RNA from 1 species